rnacentral:hammerhead_ribozyme from 1 species
ACCCAGCUGAUUAGUCCCAAAUAGGACGAAACACACGUCCUUGAU